AGUGGCGGACGGGUGAGUAAUGCUUGGGAACUUGCCUUUGCGAGGGGGAUAACAGUUGGAAACGACUGCUAAUACCGCAUAAUGUCUUCGGACCAAACGGGGCUUCGGCUCCGGCGCAAAGAGAGGCCCAAGUGAGAUUAGCUAGUUGGUAAGGUAAAGGCUUACCAAGGCGACGAUCUCUAGCUGUUCUGAGAGGAAGAUCAGCCACACUGGGACUGAGACACGGCCCAGACUCCUACGGGAGGCAGCAGUGGGGAAUAUUGCACAAUGGGGGAAACCCUGAUGCAGCCAUGCCGCGUGUGUGAAGAAGGCCUUCGGGUUGUAAAGCACUUUCAGUUGUGAGGAAAAGUUAGUAGUUAAUACCUGCUAGCCGUGACGUUAACAACAGAAGAAGCACCGGCUAACUCCGUGCCAGCAGCCGCGGUAAUACGGAGGGCGCGAGCGUUAAUCGGAAUUACUGGGCGUAAAGCGCACGCAGGCGGUUUGUUAAGCUAGAUGUGAAAGCCCCGGGCUCAACCUGGGAUGGUCAUUUAGAACUGGCAGACUAGAGUCUUGGAGAGGGGAGUGGAAUUCCAGGUGUAGCGGUGAAAUGCGUAGAUAUCUGGAGGAACAUCAGUGGCGAAGGCGACUCCCUGGCCAAAGACUGACGCUCAUGUGCGAAAGUGUGGGUAGCGAACAGGAUUAGAUACCCUGGUAGUCCACACCGUAAACGCUGUCUACUAGCUGUGUGUGUCUUUAAGACGUGCGUA
rnacentral:rRNA from 1 species